ACAAGGCUUUCUUCUCAGUUUUACAGUCAUCAUCUGAUAUGCACAUUUUGGGGCAGCAAGUCGGCUCAGGAGUCAAGGUGCUUGCUGCCAAGACGAAUGACCUGCGUUUAAUCCCCACACGGUGGAAGGACAGAACCGAUCUCUGCAAGUUUCUCCUUGAUUUCCACACAGGAGACUGCACACACCAAUAACUAAAUGUAUUUCUAUAUGAACCCAGGCUUGCCGUUGUGAUGGCAUUCUUUGAUGUCUCUCUGAUGGCUUCCACGGGGAGUAUUGGUCUCUGUCUGAGAGAUGUUUCGAUGUGUGUGAGCAGCUAAGCCUGAAGACUUGAGUUCAAAUCCCAAUAACCAUGUAAAUGAUUUUGGCUCAGUAAUGGGUGGGCUCACAUAUUCCAUUAGUUCUGAAGGAUCUAGGCUGGACUUGCUGAGGAGAAGAUGCUCUUCUUCCAAGGAGGUAAGAGCUCAGCUUGGAGCUACUGGUGUGGUGUCAGUGGGGGUAAAGAAGAAAAUAAUACACAGAGGAGAAAGUUCACAAGAAGAGCCAACAGGGUUUGUUGCUAAGCCUGUAGGGGGAAGUAAGGGAAGCAAAACACAAACACACCUCCGCUGUUUGACGCCUGAAUGAUUAGGUAAAUGCGGAUGCCUUCGAAGAAGGAAGUAUAAGAUUUUUAAAGCUUGGCAAACUUACACAAGUUUAUCUCUGUGUAAAUGACAUGGGUCCGGCUUUGAGUAACCAAAGCUUAAGAAAAUAUUAACUCUCUCCCCUCAGCUGUGCCCCCGGAACGUUUACGGGCUGACUCGAUUCUGCUCAGCACCAGGGGAAUCAGCUUUCCUCCCCUUUCUUCCUUCCUGGUGUCCGUUGCUCUCUGCUGUGGAAACGCGUCUCCUUGGGUAGCACCCCUCCCUACACCAAGCCCCUGUGGGCUGGAUGUGGAGAUUGUCUUCUUCCAGAUCACGUGACCGAGGAGAGGGCAAAUCACCCAGGCAGAACUAGAGAGUCAAUCCUAGGAGCUUUGUGUUGCUGGAAUCAUAGCCAGGCAAUUUAAGCCUGAAGCUUCCACUAGUCACCAAUGGGAAGGCUUGCUAAAAGUGAUGCCCACAGAGAGAGAGCAGGGCCAAGAGAAACAUAGAAAGGAGAGUGCUGGUGAUGUGUGUGCAGCCGCUGGAUCCAGUCACACCUCAAGGCAGGUGAACACCACAUGUCUGGGUCAUUGCAUUCCCUUUUUGACAUAAUUUAGGGUCAAGUUGCUGAUUGUUGGCCAUUGAAACAGAAGAAUCUCGACUACAACAUGACCUUUGCAAGCAGGGACAUUUAGACACACUGGAGUGCUUGCCAUGAAGACCUACUGCUGUGCUUUGCUGCAAAUUAUCUCUCCUAACAUGGUUUGGAACUCAUUUGUUGCCUUGUACCAAUUACCAUGUCUAUGCUAGGAACUCACAAGGGCUACAUAAGGCCAAGGUUUCAACUUACAUCCAAGUAAGGACUAGUAUAUUCGGGAAAUAAAAAGAUAUAUGUAGACCAGCCCAAGAGAAAUAAAUAUAUCCACCCAAAGAUGACAAGUCAUGUGACCUUCAUAGAAACUUUUUAUCAAGGCACCCCAAAAAUUGAAAACUCAGAUGUCAUUCCAGAGCAGAAAGAGAAAAUGAAUUAUGGCAUGCUCACAGGAUAAAACACUAUGCAGUAAUAAAGAAGACUGAACUUUUGGUUCAUGAGGUAGCAUGGAUGACUUCCACAGAUAAAAGGGUCAAACACAACAGAGCAUAUGCUGUAUAAAUCCAUCCAAGUUCAAGAUCAGAAUAGUAACAUGUGCUGAUUUUAGUGGGAAUACUGGACACAGAGAAGGAAAGAGCCAGGCAAUGAGUAGGAUCUUCCAUGAGGGUAACCCUAAGGAGCUGGGUUAUGAUCUUGUAUUCUUGGGUGGUAGAUACCUAGAGGUAUAGACGUGUGUGUGUGUGUGUGUGUGUGUGUGUGUGUGUGUGUUUGUGUGUGUGUGUAUAGAUGUCUGUCCAGUUGUACACUUAAGACCUGUGUACAUAUUUGUCAAUAUAUUACUCCUAAACUGAAAAUGAAAUGAAGGCUGGAGGUGUGGGAACUGUGAUGCUUGAUUUGGUAGCAGAGGAGGAAAAUCACAAGCUUCAGGCUAGCCUAGGCUACAUUGUGAGCUUGAGGUAAGACUUGGCUAACCAGCAAGACUCUAUCUCAAAAGAAAAAAAGAGAAGAG